rnacentral:lncRNA from 1 species
CUUGCCGGAGUCGGAGUAGCCGACCAUCACCUGCUGCUUGCCGUUGAUGUGGUUGAUGUACCAGUCAGUGGAGAAGAGCUUCUCCACGGACGCCGGCGCCGCCUGCAGGUCGGCCAGCCUCUCGAACAGCGGCACCACGGGGAGCGUCUGGCGAAUGCCACACUCGCGCUGCAGGAGCUCGACGGCGAGCACGUCCGAGGGCGCCGUGCACAUGGAGAUGAUGUAGGGGCCGAAGCUGUCGAUCGGGAGCUCGGCCAGGACGCGCAUGGCGCCGAUGACGUCGGCGAUCUCCUCGGUCAUGGGAAGGUCCGGGGGCAGCAGUGGGCGCUUGCCUUUCAGCUCCGACACCAGCCACUCCAUCCGCUUGUCCUCGGGCCACGAGCGGUACGACCCGAUGCCGAGGUGCGUGGUGAUGGCGUCGAUCACGUCGGUGUGCCGCUCCGACUCCUGCCGGAUGUCCAGCUUCACCAGGGAGAGACCGAACGCGAACACCUGGCGAAGGAGGUCCAGGAGGCUCCCGUCGGCGAUGGCCUUGUCGCCGCACUCACACAGGGAUUUGUAGCACAGCUCAAGGGGCUCAAGGAACUGCACGCAUGAGAUGCAUUUUUUUUUGUGCGACAGUAAGAAUCAGACCGAAAUGUACUAGUACAUCAUAUUAUUGAUUGAUCGCUUAAAUCACAUUUCAGUUUCACAAAAGGAAUAAAAUUAAGGAACUUGCCGAUUUAUUUACC